CCUACGGGUGGCAGCAGUGAGGAAUAUUGGUCAAUGGGCGGGAGCCUGAACCAGCCAAGCCGCGUGAGGGAAGAAGGUACAGCGUAUCGUAAACCUCUUUUGUCAGGGAACAAAGACUGGGACGCGUCCCCGGAUGAGUGUACCUGAAGAAAAAGCAUCGGCUAACUCCGUGCCAGCAGCCGCGGUAAUACGGAGGAUGCGAGCGUUAUCCGGAUUUAUUGGGUUUAAAGGGUGCGCAGGCGGUCUGUUAAGUCAGCGGUCAAAGCCCGGGGCUCAACCCCGGCCCGCCGUUGAAACUGGCAGUCUCGAGUUGGAGAGAAGUAUGCGGAAUGCGCGGUGUAGCGGUGAAAUGCAUAGAUAUCGCGCAGAACUCCGAUUGCGAAGGCAGCAUGCCGGCUCCACACUGACGCUGAGGCACGAAAGCGUGGGUAUCGAACAGGAUUAGAUACCCUAGUAGUC
rnacentral:rRNA from 1 species